GGAGAGUUGGUAGAGUGGCUUAAUACAUUUGUCUUGAAAACAAAAGAAUGUAACAGUUCCGUGGGUUCGAAUCCCACACUCUCCUCCA
rnacentral:tRNA from 1 species